rnacentral:rRNA from 1 species
AGUGUAGGCGGGAUCGUAAGUUAGGAGUUUAAUACAUGGGCUUAACCCAUGAGCUGCUUUUAAUACUGCGGUUCUUGAGUAUGGGAGAGGGCGAUGGAAUUCCAGGUGUAGCGGUGGAAUGCGUAGAUAUCUGGAAGAACACCAGUAGCGAAGGCGGUCGCCUGGCCCAAUACUGACGCUGAUGCUCGAAAGCUAGGGGAGCGAAACAGGAUUAGAUACCCUGGUAGUCCUAGCCGUAAACGAUGGACACUAGUUGCUGGAGGAGUCAAUCCUUUCGGUGACGAAGCUAACGCAUUAAGUGUCCGCCUGGGGAGUACGUUCGCAGGAUGAA